rnacentral:lncRNA from 1 species
UCUUGAACUGCACUAGGCAAAUGGUAGCUAUACUUUUGUCUCAUUUUUUCUAACAUUUUUGUUUUAUAUGUUGUCAUGGUUUGACACUGGCACAAUGCUAGUGCCCCAAUGAAAAUGUGAUCCCUCCCUUGAAUGCUGUGAAGUGGAAUCUAGAAUAGAGCAAAGCAGGCCCAAGCUUAAUAACAGGAAAAAAAAACUUUAUUAAACUACUACUACUAAAGAAAAGAGAAAACUAAAGAAGGGAAAAAAAAACCACACAAAGAUCAAAUGAAAACCUUGCAAAACAUUCCUCCCCCCACCACCCAACUCCAACAAACCACAGUGAGACACAAUCUGGACCCCAAUCAGGUUUCCACCCUCCAAAAAAUCGAUACUCAGUCCAUUGAGGGAACAGAGUCUCUCCUGUGCCACAGACCCCCCAAGAAACACAGCUCCAUAUCCUGUGUUUCCAUGUCACACAUGGCACCGCCCGGAGAAAAGUUUGCCAUGGUGACCCUUCUCCUUUCCAUGCACAGUGCUCUCACCACCAAUGCAUGGAUGGACAGACUGCUUUUAGGAUUUUUCCUUUCAAGGAUGCCCUGCCAAGAGGGGAGAAAACAACAGUUCAGUUUUUCAUUGUUUGGGACCACAGUCCCCCCCAUUUUCCCCUGGGGCCGAGGGCUCAAGAACAGAGAUCUUCUUCUCUUCUCUUUCCUUUCCAGGGCAAGGGGGUGCCACCACAAACCCCCUAACCUUUUCUCCGUUCACUCAACUUUUGUCUUUUCCCCAGCUGAAGCAGGUCUCUUGACUCACUGGCAUCCUCCCAAAACACAGUCCCUCUUGAAGGAGAAGAUUUGGUUCAGGUCGUGGCUAACACGGAAAAGUCCAGCCAAAAGCCACUCCUUGUCCCCCUCCCAUCCAGAAUUCCUCCUUCCAACAUCCCAGGGUCCAAGGUGUCCCUCUUCCUCUCUUUCAAACCGAGGAGGGGAAAGGAAAAUUGACAAGCUUUCAUUUCUCAAGAAAGGGUUAAAAGUCCGAACUCCCAGGAUGGCUCGAUGCCCGGACAUCCAGCAACUCCCACACAACUGGGCACCUUGGAGCUCCCCCCGCUCCUCCUUCCUCGCGGCUUUCUCUCUCCCUCUCGGGAGAGGAACUCUGGGGGGGGGGGCGGGGGGAAAUGGAGACAUCCCAGAUUUCUUCCACCCUUCCAUCUGCAGGGGCCAGCCCGAUUCCAGUCCUUUCACCACCCUUGGGGCUUUCGGCCUACCUUUCUCAGGCCAUGAGCUUCCCCUCCCCCCACCCAGCUCGUGGCUGGGCGGGGGAAGGUCUGCACUGCACGCUGACCGGAACCAAAGAGAGCGAGUUCCCCUGGGAAUUCUGCUUUCAACCCCUCUGUGUUCUCAGAGGCGUGUCCACCUUCAAUUGGUCAAUAUC